UUUGAGAGUUUGAUCCUGGCUCAGGAUGAACGCUGGCGGCGUGCCUUAGGCAUGCAAGUCGAACGAAUUUCCGCAAGGAAAUGAGUGGCAGACGGGUGAGUAACGCGUAGGAAUCUACCCCUGGGAGGACCAUAGCCCCUCGAAAGAGGGGGUAAUAGUCCAUACCCCGCAAGGGAAAAGCAAUUAACUUUGCGCCGAGCACGGGCAGUACACCUACGGGUGGCAGCAACUAGGAAUAUUGCGCAAUGGGGGAAACCCUGACGCAGCGACGCCGCGUGGAGGAAGAAGGUCUAUGGAUUGUAAACUCCUUUUGCCAAGCCGUUCACAGCUUGGAGAAUAAGCUCCUACUAACUACGUGCCAGAAGUCUCGGUAAUACGUAGGGAGCAAGCGUUAUCCGGAUUCAUUGGGCGUAAAGUGUGCGUAGGCGGCUUGAUGAGUCUCUUCUUAAAUACCAAAGCUUAACUUUGGAAGUGGGAGAGAUACUAUCAAGCUUAGAGGAUUGAUCGGGAUGCUGGAACAGUUAGUGUAGCAGUGAAAUGCGUUGAUAUUAACUGGAACACCAAAGGCGAAGGCAGGCAUCUGGGUUUUUCCUGACGCUGAGGCGAAAGCUAGGGCAGCGAAACAGAUUAGAGACCUGUGUAGUAAGGAAUUGACGGGGACCCGCACAACCGGUGGAGCGUGUGGUUCAAUUCGAGACAAAACGAAGAACCUCACCAGGGUUUGACAUAAUACCGUACAUUUUUCAAGAAACUGAAAGAAAUCCGCAAGGAUGGUACUACAGGUGCUGCAUGGCUGUCAUCAGUUCGUGCCGUGAGGUGUUCCCUUAAGUGGGGAAACGAACGCAACCCGCGCCAAAUGUUAAAUAUUCAUUUGGGACUGUCCCGAGUUUUCUCGGGAAGGAAGGAGCGGCAGAUGUCAAGUCAGCACGGCCCUUAUACCCUGGGCUACACACACACUACAAUGGCGAAAAACAAUGUGUUGCAAGCCGGUAACGGCAAGCUAAUCACUGAAAUUUCGCCCCAGUUCAGAUUGUGGGCUGAAACUCGCCCACAUGAAGUCGGAAUCGGUAGUAAUCGCGGAUCAGCAAGCCGCGGUGAAUACGUUCUCGGGUCUUGUACACACCGCCCGUCAAGGCAGCAAAGUCGGUAACUAUCGAACUGCGUUUACGCGUGGGAGAUAGAGAUUGGCGAUGAAGCUUAAGUCGUAACAAGGUAUCCCUAGCCGAAGCUGGGGAUGGAUCACCUCCUU
rnacentral:rRNA from 1 species